rnacentral:rRNA from 1 species
UUGAACGCUGGCGGCAUGCCUUACACAUGCAAGUCGAACGGUAACGGGCCUUCGGGUGCCGACGAGUGGCGAACGGGUGAGUAAUACAUCGGAACGUGCCCGAUCGUGGGGGAUAACGAGGCGAAAGCUUUGCUAAUACCGCAUACGAUCGACGGAUGAAAGCAGGGGACCGCAAGGCCUUGCGCGGACGGAGCGGCCGAUGGCAGAUUAGGUAGUUGGUGGGAUAAAAGCUUACCAAGCCGACGAUCUGUAGCUGGUCUGAGAGGAUGAUCAGCCACACUGGGACUGAGACACGGCCCAGACUCCUACGGGAGGCAGCAGUGGGGAAUUUUGGACAAUGGGCGCAAGCCUGAUCCAGCCAUGCCGCGUGCAGGAUGAAGGCCUUCGGGUUGUAAACUGCUUUUGUACGGAACGAAAAGCCUUCUUUUAAUACAGGAGGGUCAUGACGGUACCGUAAGAAUAAGCACCGGCUAACUACGUG